AUGCAUCCACUGAUUCCAGAAGCGUCCAAAAAAAACCAGCCUGGGGAAAUGGAGAGAUUUCCAAUCUGUAAAAAUCUGCAAUGCAUUUUGGGCAACAAUUGUUUACGGUACCAUAGUGCAGUAUUGAAUUUGGAAGAAUGCACAGAAGAUUUUAAAAUUUCACAUGACACCAAUUCUUGCAACAACUAGAAUUGGCAUUCCUGAGGAGUUGUCUGCCCCAUCAAUUAAAGACCCUUUGUGUAGGCUGAGCCAUUGGUGACAUUUCUUCCCAGGAGAUGAUAUGAAAAAGACAUUUUAUAACUUUGCUGCAGACUUACUGCCUCACUACCUGGAGCAGGGAGAGAAUUGAAAAGGGUGUGUUCCAUACCUGCAAAAUAUAUACAAGGGCUACUCCAAAAAUAAUGUCUCCCAUUUAUUAUGUGGACACAAUGUCAGAGGUGGAUGUUGAUGGUAUGGAAGCAGAGGUUGAACCUUCUCCUCAACAUUUUGUUAUAUGUCAUUGUUUUGUGACAGAUGGCGGCAGAAGGGCAGUCUGACAAAAUGGCAUCUGGAAGUGUGGAAUGGCAUCUGGAACAAAGGCAUGUCACUGAAUUCCUUCAUGGAAAAAAUGGCAUCCACUGACGUCCAUUGAUGCUUGCUGAACAUUUAUGGAGACCAAAUAGUGGAGAUGAGCACACAGAGGCAGUGGGUGGGUGAUGAGUUUCAACACUGGUGACAGCAACAGUGGGUAACCUCUGUUGGCACAGAUUUUUACAAGCACGACACGCACGCUUUUCUUCAUCUCUGGUGAAAAUGCAUUAAAUAGUGUUAUUGUCUUUUUUGUAUCUGUUGUAGUUUCCAUGUAUAUGAAUAGGAGGCAUUAUUUUCAGAGCAGCCUGAAACUUCAGUAGAUUUUAGUAACAAGUGAUGAUGAAAUAAAAAAAUGCUGCUCAUAUGAACAUGGUAGAGAUAAGAGAAAAUUGGUAAUCACUGAGGAAGGGAAUAUAGAAUAUAAAAAUCUUUGGAAUUAUAUCUUUGGCUUGUUUGGCUACUUGGUAUUAGAGGUUUCAGCACAUUAGCUUUUAUAAUACAAAUAAAUUCUGUGAAGGGAUCUGUUCCAUUAAAAGGCUCCUAUCAUGAACUGACCUGCUACAGUUGUAUAAAUGCAGUCUUACACAUUAUCCUGAACUGAACAAAUAUCAAUCAUUGUCUUUACUUUUAAAAAACUCACUAUCAUUCCUAUUUUUAGUUAUUCUGAUGAGUCAUAGUGUUAUGCUGGCAGGAGAUUUUGUUGUAUAUCCAGCGUAUUAUUCUGCAACAUUUCACUUGAUUUUCUUUUUGUUAUAAUUUUGCCUACAAUAACUUUGGCCCAGUUAGUUCUUGAUUUGUCCCAUCCAACAUUCAAGCUUAUAAAUGACAUAGGAAAUUAACAACUUGAGGCUUCCUGUAUAUGUUAUAUGCACCUUUAAAACGUAAAUUCAUGUUGAUGCACCCCAAUGCUGCAUAUUCUCACUUUUACUGAGUACUGAGAAAGCCUUGAAUGACAGCUCAGACACAGGUACCAUAAGUGGGAUUAAUUCAGACCCAUAUUUCUUUAAAUCAGUACUGAAUGUUUACUUUCUAAAAUGGGCUAACUUUCAUACAGAUACAUACAGACAAUUUACUGGUGAAACUGGUAAAUGCUGGGCAGAUUUGAGGUUCAUAAUCAUAGAAUCAGAUGGGGCCUCACAAGAACUGAGUAGAAGAGGACAAUCACCUCCCUCUCCC
ensembl:lncRNA